AAAAAAAAAUCAAAUUCAAGGUGACAUAUAUCAGAUAACAAAGCACACAGAGUUUUUUUUUUUAAUGUCUUCAAGAUUCUAAAAGAUUCUUUAAAUCAUAGUCUAAGCAGAAUAAAAAAGAUACUCAAAAAAAGAAGAAGAGAGAAACAUAAGGUUACAAAAUUACCAUAUACCAGAAAAUAUAAAAUCUAUAGUGGAUAAAGGGAAGAGGAAAGAAAGAAACAUAUUACUCUCAAUAACAGCAACUGCUUCUGACUCCUCCACCUUCUCUUCAGCAACAGAAGGAGGGAUCACAGUUUUCUCCUCAGCCACAUCUUUUGGAGCCUCAGCUACAGGUUCAGGUUCAGGUUCAGGUUCAGCUGGUGGUGGAGGAGUUGUCUCUGAUGGGGUUUCAGUUUCCACCUUCUUUGUCUCCUCCUCUGCCAUAUCCUUCAACACGAGCUAAAAAGAGAAUUAUGGAGCCGACAAAAAACUACAAGAAGAUAGCUAUAAAGAUAACAGAGGUGGCUAGUAACGGUGAGAGAGAGAUACGAGGGAGAGGAAUAAGAGGGAGGGCUAGUUGGGAUCUUAUAGUUGGAAGAGGGUAACUGUAUCUUGAAAACCUGAGCUGGCUGGUAGGUCUACUCUUUGUUUCUUGGCACUUCGCGCGCGCGUU
rnacentral:lncRNA from 1 species